rnacentral:rRNA from 1 species
AGCGAACGCUGGCGGCAGGCUUAACACAUGCAAGUCGAGCGGGCACUUCGGUGUCAGCGGCAGACGGGUGAGUAACACGUGGGAACGUACCCUUUGGUUCGGAAUAACGCUGGGAGACUAGCGCUAAUACCGGAUACGCCCUUUUGGGGAAAGGCUUGCUGCCGAAGGAUCGGCCCGCGUCUGAUUAGCUAGUUGGUGGGGUAAUGGCCUACCAAGGCGACGAUCAGUAGCUGGUCUGAGAGGAUGAUCAGCCACACUGGGACUGAGACACGGCCCAGACUCCUACGGGAAGCAGCAGUGGGGAAUAUUGGACAAUGGGCGCAAGCCUGAUCCAGCCAUGCCGCGUGAGUGAUGAAGGCCUUAGGGUUGUAAAGCUCUUUUGUCCGGGACGAUAAUGACGGUACCGGAAGAAUAAGCCCCGGCUAACUUCGUG